UCAUUAUUUUCGUGCAUUUUCCAAUCUUCCUCAGAACCGUGGGGGAAGAUUUUGAUAAAUAAAUUGAAGGAGUAUCUUAAGGAACGAUGAAUCGAGCACUGAAGAAUGGUCCAUUUUUUCCCGAGUGUAAUUUUUACUUUUUUACCGUGCCACCUUCCCCCGCACACACGCUUCUUCGCUCAGCAAUUGCACACGCUCCAGCGAAAUCGGAGAAGUCAGCGUAUUGGGAUCAUACAUUGGAGAAGAUGAUAGGUGUGUGCCGGGAUGUUUUUCUUCCUUGUUCUGAAAACUCAAAUCCAUCGAUUGUGGGAGAAUUAAGCGGAGAGAGAGGAAGGCAUCCUCGAUAGACAAUUUAUGCGAUGUC